UUCGGGGUGUAAACCACUGUUGCCCGGGACGAAACGCUUCUUUCGAGGAGCUUGACGGUACCGGGUGAGGAAGCACCGGCUAACUCCGUGCCAGCAGCCGCGGUAAUACGGAGGGUGCGAGCGUUGUCCGGAAUCACUGGGCGUAAAGGGCGCGUAGGUGGCGGAGCAAGUCAACGGUGAAAGCUCGACGCUCAACGUCGAGUCGGCCGUCGAGACUGCUUUGCUCGAGCACUGUAGAGGCAGAUGGAAUUCCGGGUGUAGCGGUGGAAUGCGUAGAGAUCCGGAAGAACACCGGUGGCGAAGGCGGUCUGCUGGGCAGUUGCUGACACUGAGGCGCGACAGCGUGGGGAGCAAACAGGAUUAGAUACCCUGGUAGUCCACGCCGUAAACGAUGGGCACUAGGUGCUUGGGGGAGCGACCCUCUGAGUGCCGACGCUAACGCAUUAAGUGCCCCGCCUGGGGAGUACGGCCGCAAGGCUGAAACUCAAAUGAAUUGACGGA
rnacentral:rRNA from 1 species